GCCACGGAGUUCCUGGGCAGCGAUGGGCUAGCCGAUGAAUGUUGACUCAGCUAGCUUGAGGUUGGACCAGCUGUUCAUACACUGCCCUGGUCCCCAGACCACCCUGGACAAGCUGGGUAGCAUUGCUCUUGCACAUCACCCCAGCCCCAGAGGGAUCUAACCUGGAGAUACCUCUAAGCCUAGCCGGGGGAAGAUGUAUUUAAAAAAAAAAAAAUCACUGCAUCUUAUAAUAAUAGAGAAACUCGGCUUCCUUAAAAAUUUUUCCAGAUAGUUAAAAAAAAAAAAAGUGUGUGUGUGUGUGUGUGUGUGUGUGUGUGUGUGUGUAUUCUGGUUGGUUGAUGCAGUUUCCCCAAAGUCUCAAGUUGAUGAGAAAAUAGAGGCAGAACAAAAGGACAAUGAUAGGACAGUGAUAUCUGGGCAGGUGGAGGUGAGCUUGUCCUCCAUUUUCUGAUGAACAAAGUAGGAAAGUCUCUGGAAUACAGAAGGUGCGUUAAGAAAUUUCAGCCAUGCAUAUGUUUAUUGCUGGGGGCGGGGAGGGGGAGAAGCCAGAGUUAACUUGGGUAGACUGUGAUGCCCAUAUGUGCUCAAUCUGUUCUGGGCCAGCUUUUUUUGUUUGUUUGUUUCUGCUUCUAUUUGUUUUUCCUGUUAACCCAAACUCUUAGAUUUAUCAAAAAUCUUUUUCAUGAUAUUAGGGGAGAAAAACAAAAACAAAAAAAAACACAAAAGGAGAUGCCUUUAAAACAAACUCUGUGCCUUCCGCUGUUGUCGGUUGGGUAAACAGCUAGCCUGGUCCGAGGCACCGCAGCCCUGUGGUUCCAGAGGGUUGGUUUCAGGCCCAGGCUCUGGUGCAGCCCGAGCAUGCUUGGCGUCUGGUUAACGUCUCCCCGGGCUUGUGUAACUCUGCUCAUAGGUAUUUGGGGUUUUGAAAUACUUUUCCUUUUUUUUUUUUCAUGCAAAAUGCAGCAGAGAGCUCUUUUUUAGAAGAACGGCAUUCUGAAAGAAUGCUUUGGAAAAACAUGCUUUGGGGGCUGCAAGGAAAGGGUCUCCACUGUGGGCCACCGUGCCUGAGCCCAGAUGCCGACAGGAGGAGGAGGCAGGUUUAAAUGUGACUCAGAUCCUUGCGAUUAAAUGAUGGACUUAUUCUUUGGACUCUGAUAGUGUCGAAACUGGGAGGAAUGGGGUUUAACCCAAAAAAGCAAGACUGUUGCUUACCACCCAGAUUAAGCUAAGAUGAAUUCAGGAGUAGGGAGUGACACGUAGACUCCACAACCUUGCCACUGUGGUGAUGGGAGACAUUUCUUUCAUACCACUGAAUAUUCGGGAGUGACUAUUGUGGAGUCAGGUAUGCACAAAGGUGUUUCCCAGCCUACUUCCAGAAUCCAGCUGAGCCAGCUACAGCAGCAGGGGCAGUGCUGGGCAGGAGGGUGCUGUGCACCAACCUGCCCCCUGCUCCCCUGCCCCUACCCCUGGCCUAGCCCUUGCUUCUUAGAAUCCCCUGCCAGGCCCCACUGCUGGAGUGAAGGAAGUGGCAGGCUGAGUUUUAUUCCAGGAUCAGAAAGAACAAGUCGUAUGUGUUUCCUUUGAAUACAUCCAAAUCAUGUCAAGUGGGUUACUGGAGGCUCUGCCUUCCCUUGUAUCUCUGGGUCUCUGUGAUAGCUUCCAUCUGCUCAGAAAGCAAAAUUGAGAGCACACGGGCUUCCCUGGAUCCACAGCAGAGACUGGUUAUCAUGGAAAGCAGGUGCAAAAAUAAUCACUUUCAUUUUAAAGACUGGCGCUGUCUAGAGCCACAUCACCUAGUCCGUGUCCCCUGCAGAUGACAGAGUCUGUUGUACUUUCAACUCAUCCAUCUGGACACAGAGGCUGCUGGCAUCAUGGUCCCAGUUGGCCAGGGUACAGCACAUUUGGGGGACACCCUGGGAUCCUCCAAGCUCCUCAGUAAAACUUGGCUUUAGGAAAACAUUUAUUGGCAAAAGUGGAUUUUUCUAUCUGACUUCAUCGUGUCACUGAAGCAUCAAAUAUAAGUUCUUUUCUGCAAAUACAAUUUCUAAAUUAGGAAAAUCACCAAAGCUUUGCUCUGCUCCUUUGGAGACACUUGCUUGGGCUCAGAACGAUGUCAUGGCCAGCAUGUCAGGAGAAUAUGUUGUCUGUAUGCAGCAGAGCUGUAAAGGUGUCCUUAAGAAAAACAAAUUUUUCUUUUCUUGUUUUUGUCUUAGAGGGAUCAUGUUAAGUUCAGGCAGAGCAUUCUAGGUGUGGAUGGAGGUGGAAGCACAUCAGUAAGUCGAAGCAAGUGACUGUGGAUGUCUGAUGUAGAUGGAAAGGCAGGUUUUGAUGCCGUUAGGUUAUUUACUAGAAUCUUCACCGAUUCUCCAAAUCUGCUACGAAAGCCACAGGCCUGGAAGCUGGGCGUGGCAUCCUGGAGCACCCUGAUGGUGGUGACGCCGCCCAGAGAAGAUUCCUGAUGGUUGGCGAAGUGGAGAAGGAGGUUUGUAAAACUCACCCACCUGACAUUCCUGAGUGUGCGGGUGAGAGACGGCUUUUCCUGCCGUCUGUCUCGUAAGUUCUGGCUGUUGGAGGUGAUGCAGGUGUCUAGAGGCAGGUGGUUUUCCUCUCAGAUGCCUAAAAAGGACUUGAUGUAAACAAGCAUCUUGUCAUUUGACACACGCCAAAAAAAAAAAGUUUUAAAAUUAUCUUUUGACUUCUGUCCCACUUCAUUUUUGCUUUGUGACUUCUCUGUUUAACAAUAAAUGAUCUCAAAC
rnacentral:lncRNA from 1 species